rnacentral:rRNA from 1 species
UACGUAGGGAGCAAGCGUUGUCCGGAAUCAUUGGGCGUAAAGCGCGCGUAGGUGGCUUCGUAAGUCGGAUGUGAAAACUCUGGGCUCAACCCAGAGCCUGCAUCUGAAACUGGAGGGCUAGGGUUUUGGAGGGGAAAGCGGAAUUCCAGGUGUAGCGGUGAAAUGCGUAGAUAUCUGGAGGAACACCGGUGGCGAAGGCGGCUUUCUGGACAAAUACCGACGCUGAGGCACGAAAGCUAGGGGAGCAAACAGG